AAUAAAUAAACAAACAAAGAUAAAAUUAUUCUUAAUUUUUAAAAUGUUAUUUUCUUUGAAAAAAGUUAAUGUCUUUUUUAUGUAUGACUCUUUAUCCAACUCAACGAGGCCUGCAUUUUUGUCUCCCAUGGUAACAAUACGAUUUUCUAUUUUAAUUUUAUGUUUCAGAUUUUUAAUGAUGCGAAGAAUUAAUUUAGUAUGGAAAGAUUUUAUGUUGACGUUCUUAUUCCCACUCGUUUUCCCUCACUCUUUCACCUUUAUCAUCUGGCGAACGUUCCUUAUGACCUUCAGUCCAAUUUCAUCCCUCAUCAUGUUGACUCAAGUUAUUUAAUUUUAAAGGAAAUUUUAACGUGUUAAUUGUUUGGUAAUUUGUUUUGUCGUUAAUUUUUAACAUUUAUUUUUAAACACUUUGAAAAACGAGAUUUACGAUGAAUAGAAAAACGCCAUUUUAAUUUUUUGGAUUUUUCAAUUUACUCUUCAAGUUUUUUUACAUUUGAAUUUUUCGUAAACGGAAUCUUUUUGAAGAAAUACUCUGAAACAAUACUCUCUUCACUCUCGAUGCUCCUACACCGACGGUAAUUAUAUAUAUUUUUUAUCUGUGUUUUUGUUAUAUCUGAAUGUUCCUUAGUCCUGCCUGAAGAAGAACGAUAAUCGUUCGAAAUCUUCGAAGAUAGCACCGAAAUAAAAUAUUUUCAUCGUUUAUACGACUUUUAAUUUUUUUUAGCAGCAAAAAACCAUACAACUUACCUGGAAAAAAACCACCAAAUCGAUAAUAGAGGCAUCUCCAAUAGGCCCCGAGAUCAAGAAAACCUUAAUCCCUCGGGAAAAAUCAAGCAGGUGCCCCAAACUCUAUGGUCUGCCCAAAAUCCCCUCCCUCAGGAAGGCUGCUCCGGAUCGGGGACGGUGUAGGACCGUUUUCCAAGUGGCUGACAAGUGCAGGGCGUCAUCUCUCUUGUUGAAGGUACCGUUCUUCUCUAUUUCGAUGGACUCGCGGAUGAGUCUGGUGCUCCAAUGUGGAACGUUGGCUAUUUCCAUAUCUGAAGCUGCUAGUUUUCCAUAUAUACAUAUACAUAGAAUAAUCAUGCAAAAUAAUUUGAUAUUAAAAUAGUAUUAUUUAAGUGUUUGCCUAACCUAUCCUUUGAUAUGGACUCCCUCCGCUGAUAGAAUGAGAGUCAUUCGGCUUGCGCAUACUACAUAUCAAUCCUAUUAUUCCACGUGGAAAAUAACCAUGAUGCUCUGAUCUCAAUGAGAGUUAGUACUUUCAUGGAGGCAUUGUCGUUAGCGAGGCUUACAAACCCUCCAGCAUGCCUAUGAAGUGGGUAUAUUUGCAUCAUGGUUAUUUUCCACGUGGAAUAAUAGGAUUGAUAUGCUGUAUGCCCAAGCCGAAUGACUCUCAUUCUGUCAGCGGAAGGAGUCGAUAUCAAAGGAUAGGUUCGGCAAACACUUAAAUAAUACUAUUUUAAUAUUCAAUUAUUUUGCACGAAUUUUCUAUUUAUAUGUACAUAUGGUACACUGGCUCAAGAUAUAGAAGUAUUCAAUAUAUUUUCCACGAGGAAUUAUAAUAAAAAUUGCAUAUAUACGUAUAACUAAAAUAUUCGUGCAAAAUAAUUUGAUAUUAAAAUACUAUUAUUUAAGUGUUUGCCUAACCUACCAUUUAAAUGACUCCACGUAUCUACCGACUGGAAGUCUGGCCCCUAGUUAGAAAAAAAAUAAUUUUGAUUAAAUUCGCUAUAACUAAAGAACGGUUUGACCGAUUUCAAUGUUCUAUAUCUCAAACGAAAGCUUGCGUCUGGCUGAAUAAUUAUGUGUAAAGCAUAUUGAACACUUCCAUAUCUGAAGCUGCUAGUUUUCCAUAUGUAUAUGUAAAUAGAAUAAUCAUGCAAAAUAAUUUGAUAUUAAAAUAGUAUUAUUUAAGUGUUUGCUUAACCUAUCCUUUGAUAUGGACUCCCCCGCUGAUAGAAUGAGAGUCAUUCAGCUUGCGCAUACUACAUAUCAAUCCUAUUAUUCCACGUGGAAAAUAACCAUGAUGCUCUGAUCUCAAUGAGAGUUAGUACUUUCAUGGAGGCAUUGUCGUUAGCGAGGCUUACAAACCCUCCAGCAUGCCUAUGAAGUGGGUAUAGUUGCAUCAUGGUUAUUUUCCACGUGGAAUAAUAGGAUUGAUAUGCUGUAUGCCCAAGCCGAAUGACUCUCAUUCUGUCAGCGGAAGGAGUCGAUAUCAAAGGAUAGGUUCGGCAAACACUUAAAUAAUACUAUUUUAAUAUUAAGUUAUUUUGCACGAAUUUUCUAUUUAUAUGUACAUAUGGUACACUGGCUCAAGAUAUAGAAUUAUUCAAUAUAUUUUCCACGAGGAAUUAUAAUAAAAAUUGCAUAUAUACGUAUAACUAAAAUAUUCGUGCAAAAUAAUUUGAUAUUAAAAUACUAUUAUUUAAGUGUUUGCCUAACCUACCAUUUAAAUGACUCCACGUAUCUAUCGACUGGAAGUCUGGCCCCUAGUUAGAAAAAAAAUAAUUUUGAUUAAAUUCGCUAUAA